GACGAACGCUGGCGGCGUGCUUAACACAUGCAAGUCGAACGGUGAAGGGAUCAGCUUGCUGGUUCUGGAUGAGUGGCGAACGGGUGAGUAACACGUGAGUAACCUGCCCCCUUCUUCUGGAUAACCGCAUGAAAGUGUGGCUAAUACGGGAUAUUCUGCGCCUGCUGCAUGGUGGGUGUGGGAAAGAUAUUGUUUCGGUGGGGGAUGGGCUCGCGGCCUAUCAGCUUGUUGGUGGGGUGAUGGCCUACCAAGGCGGUGACGGGUAGCCGGCCUGAGAGGGUGGACGGUCACACUGGGACUGAGACACGGCCCAGACGCCGACGGGAGGCAGCAGUGGGGAAUAUUGCACAAUGGGCGCAAGCCUGAUGCAGCGACGCCGCGUGAGGGAUGGAGGCCUUCGGGUUGUGAACCUCUUUCGCCAGUGAAGCAGGCCUGUCCCUUGUGGGUGGGUGGACGGUAGCUGGAUAAGAAGCGCCGGCUAACUACGG
rnacentral:rRNA from 1 species